UGGGUUCCGAGCGGCUGGAGCCCGACCAGGAGCAAGUGCUGCAGGAAAUGGUGAGAUUUCUUCAGUUGCGAGUGAGCGAAGUCAAGGUUUACCCCGAUGAUGCAGGGCCGUUGGCGAAGAUGGAGGUAAAGGAGAUGAUGACAACGCUUGUCGCCAAGUGGUCCCAAAUGACUGAGAAUUGCUCUCCGUGAGAUGCACGGCGAGACGUCAUCCCGUCGAAGGCUGAAUGGUGGCGUCUCGUGUGCGGCAUGCCAGCCUGUCAGACC